UCAGACAUGGUGUAGUGGUAACACGGCCUCUCUAUAUAGGAUCUCAAUACCAUAGUUCUGAGGCAGUCCUGGGUUCGAACCCCAGUGUCUGAA